GGAAUCUUCGGCAAUGGACGAAAGUCUGACCGAGCAACGCCGCGUGAGUGAAGAAGGUUUUCGGAUCGUAAAACUCUGUUGGUAGAGAAGAACGUUGGUGAGAGUGGAAAGCUCAUCAAGUGACGGUAACUACCCAGAAAGGGACGGCUAAUUACGUGCCAG
rnacentral:rRNA from 1 species